UACGGAGGGUCCAAGCGUUAUCCGGAAUCAUUGGGUUUAAAGGGUCCGUAGGCGGUUUUGUAAGUCAGUGGUGAAAGCCCAUCGCUCAACGGUGGAACGGCCAUUUGAUACUGCAAGACUUGAAUUAUUGGGAAGUAACUAGAAUAUGUAGUGUAGCGGUGAAAUGCUUAGAGAUUACAUGGAAUACCAAUUGCGAAGGCAGGUUACUACCAAUAUAUUGACGCU
rnacentral:rRNA from 1 species